UGCGUUCUUUGCGUUCUUGGAAUUGAGAAACAGCCAUUAUUUUCGAGGAACGGGAACGUUAGCUAGCUGAAGUUUCCGCUAACUUUCUAGCGGUAAAAUGGUCACAUCGUGUUGACAAUGACAUUAGCUAGCUUCACCAGCAACCCUAAUAGACAUUAAUACUGGUAACUAUGUCGAAAAGAAAGCACAACGUUACUGCUAACACGAAAGAAAAGGUUUGGUUGAGAGAAAAUGUUCCUAUACGUACUUUGACAAGAUGGAAAAAAAGGUUUGUACUAAAUUACACCUGUUUCCUAAUCCAGCUCGUAACUUCUGGUUAAAGGAGAACUCCGGUCAAUUUUAACAUUGAGCUAAUUUUUUUUGUACAUUUGGAGUGCUGUCAGUACAGAGAACAACGACAAAAAUCGGUGUUUCCUACACCGUGUUAUCUUCUUUUUAAAAUUUGCACCCUGUUGACUUCAAUGGGCACGUUUAAACCUGUAUUAAUAAAAUUGAUGAUAAUUCUGCCCGCGAAAAUACCUGAAAAACUUACUGUUUUCAGUCGAAGUCCACAGUAGUCAAUUGUUGAGUUCACCCGCGCGAUCACUGGUAACUAAGCAAUUCAAGAGAACGCGCCUGAACUCGACAAUCGACUACUGUGGACUUCGACCGAAAACAGGAAGUUUUUCAGGAAAAUCAACAGAACUUUGACUGACAUCGAAAAACAUACUGCGCAACAACAUGAAAGUGAUGAAGAUGUCCAAAGAGAAGAGCAGAGUGGAGAACCUUUCACAUUGGAGCAGGUGAGACAAAACUACAGUAUUCUGUCUCUCUAUUUAUAUGUAUCUCUCUCUAUCACUCUGUCAAUCUAUCUAUCUAACAAGUUGUUGAUUUGUAUCCUUCCUAGGAAAGUGAUGAAGAUUCCCAAAGAGAAGAGCAGAGAGCAGAACCUUUAACAUUGGAGCAGGUGAGACAAAACUACAGUAAACACAUUUAUGAAGUUAAUUACAUAAUUUGAUAAUGACAUUAAAUAAUCACGAGACAAACAAUGCUAUCACAAAAUGCACAGAUUAUCUCUGCAGCUCAUGGAAGUAAUAAUAAUAAUAGUAAUAAUAUCCAGGGCCACAACACUACUGGUGUAUUG
ensembl:lncRNA